UACGUAGGGGGCUAGCGUUGUCCGGAAUCAUUGGGCGUAAAGAGCGCGUAGGCGGCUAGAUAAGUCCGGUGUGAAAGUCACAGGCUCAACCUGUGAAUGCCGCUGGAAACUGUCUGGCUAGAGUCCGGAAGGGGCGAGUGGAAUUCCGGGUGUAGUGGUGAAAUGCGUAGAGAUCCGGAGGAACCCCAGAGGCGAAGGCGGUGCCCUGGCUCGCAACUGACGCUCAGACACGACAGCAUGGGGAGCGAACGGG
rnacentral:rRNA from 1 species